AAGAGGAAGAAAUUGUAAUAUUGGAAAAAGAGGGAUUUGAGGAAUUAAGAAGGGCCUAAGUAGGUAGAAUUUUUUUUCUUUUUUUUUUUGUCAACUGUUUCUUUCCUUUAGAAAGGCCCAAUGAAUAGGGCUGGGCAAAUAAACCGAACCCGAAAAUCCGAACCGAACCCGAUCCGAUAAAAAUGAAUCCGAACCGAUCCGAACCCGACAUAAAUACCGAAUGGAUCCUGUUUUUUGGUAUUUUGGGUUAUGGGUAUUAUCCGAACCGAACCCGGACCUAAAUGGAUAUCCGAUAGAACCCGAAACAUUUAAAAUCACAAAAAGAACUUCUACCAAAUAUGAUCUUAAUUCUUAAUAUGUAUCCAAAAUACUUUAAGAUAUUAUUGAACUUCUAAAAUAAUUAUCUGUUACAUGAAGGUUGAUGGUGGAAUGUGGCGGUUGAUGCCUGGAGUUUUUAGAUUUUGGUUUUGUUUUUAUUGAAUAAUGUUUCUCAUUUCAUGAGAACUUAUAUUUUGUUUUAUGAUUUCAUUUAUAAGGUUUUUUUUAUAUCACUAACUAUGUUUAUCUUUCGUUUGAUUUUGAAUGAUCACGUUUGAUGUUUUUUCUUAUUUUUGAAUCGAUUUUACUUAUGUUUUGGCUAUUAAAAUAUGUACAAAUCAUGUAUUUUAAAUCCGAAGAACCGAUUUUAUUUAUGUUUUAGUUACAAAAUAGGUACAAAUCAUGUAUUUUUAAACUGAAGAACCGAUUGGGACCCGAACCCGAAAGUACAAUGGGUUAUACCGGUUCUUUGAAGAUUUACUAACCCCGACCCGAACCCGAUAGAACCCGAACCGGUCACGAACCGAACUUUUAUAUAACCCGAAUGGGGUUGAUUUUGAUAAACCCGAAAAACCGAAACCCGAAUGGAUAAAAUCGAAACCCGAUUGGGACCCCGAAUGUCCAUGCCUACCAAUGAACAUUACAAGAGAAGCAACAAGCUUGAAACUCAUCAUCAUAAAAUAAAUUUUAUUAGGCCUAAUUCGUGGUCCAUUAGGCUCUUCGAGUUCCAUGCACGGGAAAGACGUGACACGCGCCCUCAUCCUCCUUUGCAUGAGUCUUUAAACUUCUGGAUCUGACAUGGGAUGAGACUGCGAUCUGCUAUCUUUCAUCCGGCUGUCGCUUCAAUGAGAGCCACCAUCAACUUCAUUGGGUAAUAACUCUGGGAUUACUCAAUCAAUCCAAUAAAAUUAAAGAUCUUUAUCGGACCAUCUCCGAGAGGAUGCCGAUUCAUCUAAAUCUUCAUCGAGAUUACUCUAACAUCACCUCCACCUAAG
rnacentral:lncRNA from 1 species